rnacentral:rRNA from 1 species
GACGAACGCUGGCGGCGUGCUUAACACAUGCAAGUCGAACGGAAAGGCCCUGCUUUUGUGGGGUGCUCGAGUGGCGAACGGGUGAGUAACACGUGAGUAACCUGCCCUUGACUUUGGGAUAAAUUCAGGAAACUGGGGCUAAUACCGGAUAGGAGCUCCUGCUGCAUGGUGGGGGUUGGAAAGUUUCGGCGGUUGGGGAUGGACUCGCGGCUUAUCAGCUUGUUGGUGGGGUAGUGGCUUACCAAGGCUUUGACGGGUAGCCGGCCUGAGAGGGUGACCGGCCACAUUGGGACUGAGAUACGGCCCAGACUCCUACGGGAGGCAGCAGUGGGGAAUAUUGCACAAUGGGCGGAAGCCUGAUGCAGCAACGCCGCGUGCGGGAUGACGGCCUUCGGGUUGUAAACCGCUUUCGCCUGUGACGAAGCGUGCGUGACGGUAAUUGGUAAAGAAGCACCGGCUAACUACGUG